GGAGAGGUGGCUGAGUGGCUGAAAGCAGCGGUUUGCUAAACCGUCGUAGUGCCUAAUAGCGCUACCGAGGGUUCGAAUCCCUCCCUCCCCGCCA
rnacentral:tRNA from 1 species